CAGUGUGCCCAGAUGUCUUGCAUCCCAGUUCCAGUGCACAAAGCAACCACAUCAAAGAAGCAAACGCAGGAAUUGAGCUGCAUGGCUGCUGAUGGACAGCAAUGAUGGAUGGAUUCUUCCUGGCUUGAGGAUCAGUCCUGAGUUGUAAAGCACCUCGGCACGCAAAUGAGGAGUUGAGCUGAUAAAAUGAGGGAUCUGAAAACGAGGGGGCCGAGCCGGAUGAUCCGCCAAUGUUAAGAGGCGUGCUUUGAAGAAAAUUCCAUCAAAGGAAAAACAAUAAGUGAGGCUGUGUGUGUGUGUGUGUGUGUGUGUGUGUGUGUGUGUGUGUGUGUGUAGCCGUUGUUAAAUACCUUGCGUUGUUCAGAAAAUGCUUAAAAUCUCAAUUGGCUCCGUUAACUGGCAUCUGGAGAACAAUGAGUUGAAUCUGUUAGGGGGUUUGUAAAAGGCUUUUAGUGUUUCCGUCUCCUUCCAUAUGCCGUUGCGUGAUUUGCUUUGCAUCUUCAUAUUAGGCUGCACACCUUGUUUUCCUCCCUGCCGUGGCUGGAUAAUGAACGCUGGGGGAAAUUGUGUUUGAGUGUGGUUUCUGAUGUUUGAACAGUGAGAGGCGUGCUUGAUUUACGGUGCGGCUGGCAGCUUCAAGAGGGGACACGCAACUUACAGGGAUGGGAAUUAAGUGCUUCUCACGUUUACCAUUUAGUCCAAUUCCUGCAUAUUUUUUCAUACAUCAGUUACAAAUGGAUAUACAAUAGGUACUAAUUUAGAGCACUGGGUACUUAAUAUAUUUGUCGGGGCUCUAAGGAACAUACACCUGAACAGUUUCUUUACAGUUAUUAAUGGUAGGUAUUAGGGCUGUGCAAUGAAUCAAAUUUUAAUGGCAAUUCCAAUUUCAGCUCCUAAUGAUCACAAAACCAGCGUCAUCGACGAUUGUUUUGCAUAUUCUGUUAUGCCCCUAAACUCUUGUUUCUGUCUUGUGUGAAUGGGGUAAAAAAUAUG